rnacentral:lncRNA from 1 species
CAGGCUCAAGCGAUCAUCCUACCUCAGCCUCCCAAGUGGAACAGAUGAACAUACAAAAUCUAUAGUAUGAGAACAUACAGUAAGAUAAAAUAAAAGUGGAAGUUAAGUUUACAUUUGUACAUGUAUUUUCACCAUACAUAUUUUAUUUAAAAAGUACUUUUAAGGUAAAUGGUUGCAUAUUAAAUUGUUUUUCCCAUUAGUCCCUUAGAGAUAUAAUUCAGUAUACUAGGUGGAAUCUCUAUUAUGAUUUCAACCAGGUAGACUCCCCUUCCCCCACCCCACAACAGGCCCCAGCGUGUGAUGUUCCCCUUCCUGUGUCCAAGUGUACUCAUGGUUCAAUUCCCACCUAUGAGUGAGAGCCUGCAGUGUU